rnacentral:rRNA from 1 species
UACGGAGGGGGCUAGCGUUGUUCGGAAUUACUGGGCGUAAAGCGCACGUAGGCGGCUUUGCAAGUCAGAGGUGAAAGCCCGGGGCUCAACCCCGGAAUUGCCUUUGAGACUGCAUCGCUAGAACGUCGGAGAGGUAAGUGGAAUUCCGAGUGUAGAGGUGAAAUUCGUAGAUAUUCGGAAGAACACCAGUGGCGAAGGCGGCUCACUGGCUCAUACUGGACGCUGAGGUGCGAAAGCGUGGGGAGCAAACAGG